AACCAUCUCAUUGUCUUUCUUCUUAGAAACCUUCACAACCGUAAACAGACUGGUAUUCCCUCCUCCCAUGACUGUUACCCUAAUUUUUUAUGAUCUGGUCAGUUCUUUGUCGUCCUCCACAUCCUUCACAGUCUACAUGUUGAUUGACACAGUCAUUAAGCUUAGCUACGCCUCCUCUAAGAAGCCUUUCUUGAUCAACCAGAAUUAAGACCCUCCUGUGCAGCUGGGCAGUGAUGGCUCUUGCCUUUAGUCCCAGCACACCAAAAGCAGAGGUGGGUGGAUCCUGAAUUCAAGGCCAGCCUGCUCUACAGAGUUCUAAGACAGCCCAGCCAACACUGAGAAACCCUGCCUUGAAAAACAAAAACAAGCAAAAAAAGGCCCUCCUGUGCAUUUAUUUCUCUAUACAUUAGCAUAUUAAAAUCAUAUGCCCAAA